GACGAACGCUGGCGGCGUGCUUAACACAUGCAAGUCGAACGCUGAAGCCUAGCUUGCUGGGUGGAUGAGUGGCGAACGGGUGAGUAACACGUGAGUAACCUGCCCUCUUCUUUGGGAUAACGCCCGGAAACGGGUGCUAAUACUGGAUAUUCACUGAUCUUCGCAUGGGGGUUGGUGGAAAGGUUUUUUCUGGUGGGGGAUGGGCUCGCGGCCUAUCAGCUUGUUGGUGGGGUGAUGGCCUACCAAGGCUUUGACGGGUAGCCGGCCUGAGAGGGUGACCGGUCACAUUGGGACUGAGAUACGGCCCAGACUCCUACGGGAGGCAGCAGUGGGGAAUAUUGCACAAUGGGCGAAAGCCUGAUGCAGCGACGCCGCGUGAGGGAUGGAGGCCUUCGGGUUGUAAACCUCUUUCGCUCAUGGUCAAGCCGCAACUUAGGGUUGUGGUGAGGGUAGUGGGUAAAGAAGCGCCGGCUAACUACGUGCCAGCAGCCGCGGUAAUACGUAGGGCGCGAGCGUUGUCCGGAAUUAUUGGGCGUAAAGGGCUUGUAGGCGGUUUGGUCGCGUCUGCCGUGAAAUCCUCUGGCUUAACUGGGGGCGUGCGGUGGGUACGGGCUUGACUUUGAGUGCGGUAGGGGAGACUGGAACUCCUGGUGUAGCGGUGGGAAUGCUCAGAUAUCAGGAAGAACUCUGGUUGGCUAAGGCUGGUCUCUGGUCCGUUUCUGACGCCUAUGAGCCGAAGCGUGUGUGAGUGUGCAGGAUUGAUCCCUGGUGUGUUGGGUGGAAUUCCCAGUGUUUUUGUGCUUUGGAUACCGUCAACCUGAAGGUGAGUACAGGUGCCAUUUUUUCACUUUGGAG
rnacentral:rRNA from 1 species